GUGGAAUCACCAAGACCUCAUCCAGGCUUACAAGGAGCACGCGCCGAGGUCGUCGCGAGAUUAAGCGGGGGAGAAUGUUACGGACGGCACUAUUUUCGCACCAAAACAGGCUCAAAACAGCUCCAAAAUGCUUCCGAAACAGUCCAGCGUGCCCCGGAAGGCCCUGGAAGACUGUAGACCCCUCUAGAGUUAUCUUGUAUAUUCUACUAGGUGUAGAGAUUUAUAGAGAUCUCUAGAACUCUCUAGAACUCUCUAGAACUCUCUAGAANNN
rnacentral:lncRNA from 1 species